UCGCAAUGAUGAAUGGCCCAUACAUUCACGGUUUCCACCAGAAUUCCACCAGAUGUGUUAGCAACUAGCUUUCUUCUUUGGACGUCUGAGUGA
rnacentral:snoRNA from 1 species